rnacentral:tRNA from 1 species
GCCUGGGUAGCUCAGUGGUAGAGCGAUUGUCUUGUAAGCAAUAGGUCGGGGGUCCAAUUCCCUCUCCAGGCU